rnacentral:lncRNA from 1 species
CCCUGGUAUCUUUGAUAUUUAUUUCAAAUAAAACUAGGCAUGUUUUACCAUAAUCACUUACAAUAAUUAUCCUAUACGGUCCUAUAAUCUGUCGAUACUUAUAUGUUUACAUUUCACAACGUCAGACUUUUCUCAGACUGUUUUGACGUCUUUGCACAAAACAAGUUGCAGUCGGAAAUUAAUAUCAUGUCAAUCUUGAUUGUUUGGG